UACUUAAUCCUGUCUACCAUGGCUCCCUCCUUGGAGAAGGAGUUUUGAUUCGUUGUAAAGACAGGUUCUUGCUACGUUGCCCAGGCUGGCCUUGAACUUACUAUGUACCUUGAUUUCUUGAUGUAUGACUAGGAGUACUGAAAACUCCAACCAGGCAGCUUGUAGUGCUGUGUGCCUCUCCCUAAAGGGUUAAGCUCAGCCCCGGCCAGCCCGAGAGAAACCCUAACCGGCAUCCCAUUCUUGCAGGAACUCUGUCGCGGUCUCAGCUCAAACUGGCCUCCAGAGGAACAAGAAACCUCCUGCGUUUACCAGAGAGAACCGGCGACCAAUUAGGCUGCAUCCUGCUUUUACCACCCAGAUAAGAAACUGUGAGGAAUGCCCCGGGUUUUUGGGUUACUGCAGCGCCUGGGAAGAAAUUACUGCACAGACCGGGAUCCUGGAGGCAGAACGAUGGCACAGUGGUGUGUGUGGGUAAUAUGAAUCCAGGUUACUUCCCAAGGCACUGGAGGGUGAUGGGAGGCAGUCCAGGUGUGAACUCCGUCAGUCAGGCCACCAGCCUGCAAGGCUCUCCACUGCUGAAUUCGCAGCCGCUGAACCCCCACCUCCCCCGUAGGUUCCUCAGACUGAGGCAGUCCCCUCUCCCCACUCUUGCAUAGAGGACACUGCCCUGUAUGAUCCGAGUAAACAGGGACAUCUCAGAAAAACACCGGGAGGCCAGGAAUUUCCUUAAUAAGAUAAGCUCAGGAACUUUAGGAAGGUAGCUGAACUCUUCGAAGGGAAAGACUAGUAUUCCUCAGACCACAGGGUGAGAAACUACCUGCAGGUGGGGGCACAUUCUGCAGGUGGACAUUUGCCCACCUUCAGACAAGGGAACUCUAAAGACCAAUCAGUUUAAAAAGUCACACUGUUCUACCAAUCAUAUUGUGUCUAAUGGCUGCUGCUCUGAAAAUUGUAUAAAAGUUCACUGAAUAAGCUGUGCAGGGUCACCUCCUUUCCUGAGGGUCUGGGUCGGCCUCAGUGAAUUGAAAUAAAAAAUCCUCAUGUUUUUUGCAUC